rnacentral:rRNA from 1 species
UACGGAGGGGGCGAGCGUGUCCGAAGUUACUGGGCGUAAAGCGCGCGUAGGCGGGUGGGUAAGUCCGCUGUGAAAGCCCGGAGCUUAACUCCGGAGGGUCGGUGGAUACUGCCCAUCUUGAAGGUGCUAGGGGGAGAUGGAAUUACCGGUGUAGCGGUGAAAUGCGUAGAGAUCGGUAGGAACACCAGUGGCGAAGGCGGUCUCCUGGAGCAUACUUGACGCUGAGGCGCGAAAGCUGGGG